rnacentral:lncRNA from 1 species
GAUGAAUGUCUUUUCAGCGGAAGCCAGCAGAUGUUACAGCUCUUGUUUCCUACUUUUGUGCUUUCCAGUUUGCUCCCAGGAUGUUUAUUCUAACAAGCAGCCUGGUUCUGAUGCUCACUGGGGACAGAAAACACUGAUGUCUGCUCACAUUUAGCUGCAGCCCAGGCUGUUCUUUAGGAAGGAGCAUCAGGAGAAGGCACGCAGGAGCCAGCCAGGCAGGAUGGCCACUCACUGAGAUGAAGGCUCAGGUCAUGCCCUCAGGGAUGACGAGAGAUGGAGACUUAGAUGGAUUUGUUUUUCUCUUCUGGAGCAAGUGUUUGGGGAUUUCUCUUUUCAGAGGAACUUCUGCUAUGUGGCGAAAGGUUAUAAAAGAAACCAGCUCUCAGGCAUGGCCUUUUGAACUUGGACGCCCCAGGAUGGAAAACCCAAU